rnacentral:piRNA from 1 species
UGGAAUGAGAGACAGGUGGCCUGGGCUC